rnacentral:rRNA from 1 species
UACGUAGGGUGCGAGCGUUGUCCGGAAUUAUUGGGCGUAAAGAGCUCGUAGGCGGCUCGUUGCGUCGGCUGUGAAAACCCGCAGCUCAACUGUGGGCUUGCAGCCGAUACGGGCGGGCUAGGAUUCGGUAGGGGAGACUGGAAUUCCAGGUGUAGCGGUGAAAUGCGUAGAGAUCUGGAGGAACACCGAUGGCGAAGGCAGCCUUCUGGGCCAACACUGACGCUCAUGCACGAAAGCGUGGGGAGCAAACAGG